UUUACUCAGUCCCUGAAGCCUGGAAUGGUCUGACUGACUAUGUUACUGAGAAGACCUGGAAAUGGGUUGAUGGCACAACACUGACCACCCCAAGGUAAGAGACUACUGCUCUAAUAACACUGACCACCCCAAGGUAAGAGACUACUGCUCUAAUAACACUGACCACCCCAAGGUAAGAGACUACUGCUCUAAUAACACUGACCACCCCAAGGUAAGAGACUACUGCUCUAAUAACACUGACCACCCCAAGGUAAGAGACUACUGCUCUAUAAUAACACUGACCACCCCAAGGUAAGAGACUACUGCUCUAAUAACACUGACCACCCCAAGGUAAGAGACUACUGCUCUAUAAUAACACUGACCACCCCAAGGUAAGAUACUACUGCUAUAGAAUAAUACUGACCACCCCAAGGUAAGAGACUACUGCUCUAUAAUAACACUGACCACCCCAAGGUAAGAGACUACUGAUCUAUAAUAACACUGACCACCCCAAGG